AGUUUUUUCUUUUCUUUUUCGAGUAGUCUUUGUCGCCCCAGAUGGAGUGCAGUGGCGCGAUCUAAACUCACCGCUACCUCCGCCUCCCGGUUCCAGUGAUUCUACAACCUCAGCCUCCUGACUCCUGCCAUGUAAGACACCUGGUUCCACUUGUCUCCUGCCAUGAGAAAAAGCUCUUUGGGGCCUCUCCAGAAGCAGAUGCCACCAUGUUUCCUAUACAGCAUGCAGAACCAUCAUCAGGCUAGUACAAUACAAAGGAAGCAAUCAAGAAAUACUGAAAGAAUGAAAGAAUGAAGGAACGAACAAACGAAGAGAGUUAAGCCUGUGAAAGUUGAUGAGACAACCAAAGGAGAUAAUGGAGAAGACAGAACACUGGAGCAAUACCCACCUUGAGGGGGUAGGAAGAAAGAAGAUAGAGAAGGAAACGGAAUGAACAAUCAAAAGAGGUAGGAAGAAAACAUCUAGAACUAUACAGUAAAGCAACCCAAAAAAAGAGAGAAAUUUAAGAAGGGCAAGUAGUCAACAGCAUCAAACACUACAUAGAGGUUAAAGAAGGUGAGAACUAGUGAGAAGAAGGCCACUAGUGAUCCUCAUGUUGCUGAUGCUGAGUUAAUGCCCCCCUCAAUUCCAGCACUGUCAGGGGCCACCUUUCUCAACCACUGAUUGAGGCUACUGAGGGCUUACAAAUAACCAAUGGUAUAAAACUUACCUGUGCAAUCUUUCUUUUUUACUAUCAAAAAAUUGAAAAACAGACACCAUACAAAAGAAAAUAAAAUCCCCACCAUUCAGAUACAACCUGUUAUGUCACUAUUUCCUUUGUUUUUUAUGUUUAUAUGUUUUAUAUCAUUAUGUUGAAUUAUAUAUCCUAAACAAUUCCUUAAUUAGUAUACAUAAAAUUAUUAAUAUAAUUUAAAAUGAAGCUUAAUUUAUGCUUUAUUCAGCACAAGUUAGAUUUCUCAUUGGAAACUGGUAAAUUAGUACUCCAAUUUAUAAAUAGAAUAAAGAAAAAAAUGCUAUAGAAUUAGACAUGCCUGCUUGGCCAUGUGUGUAC